rnacentral:rRNA from 1 species
GGGUUGUGAGGUUAAGCGACUAAGCGUACACGGUGGAUGCCCUGGCAGUCAGAGGCGAUGAAGGACGUGCUAAUCUGCGAUAAGCGUCGGUAAGGUGAUAUGAACCGUUAUAACCGGCGAUUUCCGAAUGGGGAAACCCAGUGUGUUUCGACACACUAUCAUUAACUGAAUCCAUAGGUUAAUGAGGCGAACCGGGGGAACUGAAACAUCUAAGUACCCCGAGGAAAAGAAAUCAACCGAGAUUCCCCCAGUAGCGGCGAGCGAACGGGGAGGAGCCCAGAGCCUGAAUCAGUGUGUGUGUUAGUGGAAGCGUCUGGAAAGGCGCGCGAUACAGGGUGACAGCCCCGUACACAAAAAUACACAUAUUGUGAGCUCGAUGAGUAGGGCGGGACACGUGGUAUCCUGUCUGAAUAUGGGGGGACCAUCCUCCAAGGCUAAAUACUCCUGACUGACCGAUAGUGAACCAGUACCGUGAGGGAAAGGCGAAAA